GUGAGGAAUAUUGCGCAAUGGAGGCAACUCUGACGCAGCCAUGCCGCGUGCAGGAAGAAGGCGCUACGCGUUGUAAACUGCUUUUAACCGGGAAGAAACCCCAGGACGUGUCCUGGGUUGACGGUACCGGAGGAAUAAGCACCGGCUAACUUCGUGCCAGCAGCCGCGGUAAUACGACGGGUGCAAGCGUUAUCCGGAUUCAUUGGGUUUAAAGGGUGCGUAGGCGGAGCGUUAAGUCAGUGGUGAAAUCCUGCAGCUUAACUGUAGACUUGCCAUUGAUACUGGCGCUCUUGAGUACGCUUGAAGUGGGCGGAAUGUGCCGUGUAGCGGUGAAAUGCUUAGAUAUGGCACAGAACACCAAUUGCGAAGGCAGCUCACUAAGGCGAUACUGACGCUGAGGCACGAAAGCGUGGGGAUCGAACAGGAUUAGAUACCCUGGUAGUCC
rnacentral:rRNA from 1 species